AACGAACGCUGGCGGCAUGCCUAACACAUGCAAGUCGAACGAAACCUUCGGGCCUAGUGGCGGAUGGGUCGGUAACGCGUGGGGACCUGCCCUUGAGUUCGGAAUGACUCCCCGAAAGAGGUGCUAAUACCGGCUCAUGUAUUCGGUACAACGAUUUAUCGCCUUUGGAUGGGCUUCCGUUGGAUUAGCUGGUGGGUAGGGUAAAAGCCUAUCAAGGGGACGAUCCGUAGCUGGUUUGAGAGGAUGAGCAGCCACACUGGUACUGAGACACGGCCCGGACUCCUACGGAAGGCAGGAGAGGGUAAUAUAGGACAAUGGGGGAUGGCCUGAUCCAGCAAUGCCGGGUAAGUGAUGAAGGCCGUAGGGUUGUAAAGCUCUUUUACCCGGGGCGAUAAUGACGGUACCGGGAGAAUAAGCACCGGCUAACUCCGUG
rnacentral:rRNA from 1 species